rnacentral:rRNA from 1 species
UAGGGAAUCUUCCGCAAUGGACGCAAGUCUGACGGAGCAACGCCGCGUGAGUGAAGAAGGAUUUCGGUUCGUAAAACUCUGUUGUUAGAGAAGAACAGCGCAUAGAGUAACUGUUAUGCGUGUGACGGUAUCUAACCAGAAAGCCACGGCUAACUACGUGCCAGCAGCCGCGGUAAUACGUAGGUGGCAAGCGUUGUCCGGAUUUAUUGGGCGUAAAGCGAGCGCAGGCGGUAAAUUAAGUCUGAUGUGAAAGCCCCCGGCUCAACCGGGGGAGGUCAUUGGAAACUGGUUGACUUGAGUGCAGAAGGGGAGAGUGGAAUUCCAUGUGUGGCGGUGAAAUGCGUAGAUAUAUGGAGGAACACCAGUGGCGAAGGCGACUCUCUGGUCUGUAACUGACGCUGAAGCUCGAAAGCGUGGGUAGCAAACAGG